rnacentral:rRNA from 1 species
AUGGAGGUGAUCUUUUCUGCUGCUAUGGGUGAGCUUGCAAGUAGAUCCAUAUCUUUCCUCAUGGCCAGGUACCUAAAGCAGACGCCCGCACCAACCGAGGAGGAGAGGCUGUGCAGCCUACAACGGCUGCUGCUGCGGGUUCGUGUGGUCGUCGAGGAGGCACAUGGCCGGCUCAUCACCAACCAGGCCAUGCUGCAUCAACUCAGCAUACUGAGAAAGGAGAUGUACAGCUUUUACAUAUGUCAAUUUUCGAUGUACAGGGGGUAUUACACCUUCGAUAUCUUCAGUUGGCGAGACCAUGGAUAUGGCAGGACAAAAGAUCAAGAAGUCAUUUACUCCUUUGCCCCAUCGAAGUUCAACCCUGCCAAGCGUGUAUGUUUCUACAGUGGCAGCAGUGAAGGUGCAGCACAAGCUGAGCUGCUAGAGCAAGUUCUUGGCAGCGUAAGGGAUGCCAUGGAAGAUGUGAGCGAGUUCAUCAUGUUUCUAAACAGUUGCCCGCGUUUGCACCGCCAGCCGUACAACAUGUAUCUGCAGCUAGACAAGUGCAUGUUCGGACGCCAAAUGGAGACGGAAGUUGUGAUGAACUUCCUGUUGCAAGCAGAGACUACUGCCAGUGUCACUAAUUAUCUGCCUGUCAUGCCGAUUGUCGAUGAUGCAAGGGUUGCAGUGCAAGCCGGCCACCGCCGGCGCGCGGCAGAGGAGGUCACCAUAGAUACACGGCCGGGGCAGAGACGUGGCAGAAGAGGUCGAGGUUGCCGCUGUCCAGCCCAACACGCACGAGCGCACCGACCUAGGGAGCGCCAUCCAGGAGGCGGAUAG